CCUACGGGGGGCAGCAGUGAGGAAUAUUGGUCAAUGGACGCGAGUCUGAACCAGCCAAGUAGCGUGAAGGAUGACUGCCCUAUGGGUUGUAAACUUCUUUUAUAUGGGAAUAAAAUGUUCCACGUGUGGGAUUUUGUAUGUACCAUAUGAAUAAGGAUCGGCUAACUCCGUGCCAGCAGCCGCGGUAAUACGGAGGAUCCGAGCGUUAUCCGGAUUUAUUGGGUUUAAAGGGAGCGUAGGUGGAUUGUUAAGUCAGUUGUGAAAGUUUGCGGCUCAACCGUAAAAUUGCAGUUGAUACUGGCAGUCUUGAGUACAGUAGAGGUGGGCGGAAUUCGUGGUGUAGCGGUGAAAUGCUUAGAUAUCACGAAGAACUCCGAUUGCGAAGGCAGUUCACUAGACUGCAACUGACACUGAGGCUCGAAAGUGUGGGUAUCAAACAGGAUUAGAUACCCCUGUAGUC
rnacentral:rRNA from 1 species